GUGGUGGCUUGGUCCCCCCAUCAUGAGUGUAUGUUGCUUCGCGAUUAGUAGUCCUCUUUCACCGAGAUGCCUUUCAAAAAAGAUUUUUCCCUCAUCAAAACAAGACCCACUAUCGGAGAUAUAGCCGAGUCGGGCAUGGAAGGAAUUCCGCGAUAGAUUCUACAGAUUCAGAGAUUGUGUUUUAACGUAAAAGGCUUGAUUUCACAAACAUGUGC
rnacentral:misc_RNA from 1 species